AGCUCUGAGGUGUAUUACAUUUUAGGUUGCAAACCUAAAGAAGUAGAUUAACUGUCUACCGGGGCUU
rnacentral:tRNA from 2 species